rnacentral:rRNA from 1 species
GACGAACCGAGCGAACGUUAUUCGGAAUCACUGGGCUUAAAGGGCGCGUAGGCGGGCCAUCAGGUCAAGGGUGAAAUCCCCCGGCUCAACCGGGGAAGUGCCCCUGAUACUGAUGGCCUUGAGGGAGGUAGGGGCGUGCGGAACUUCCGGUGGAGCGGUGAAAUGCGUAGAUAUCGGAAGGAACACCGGUGGCGAAAGCGGCGCGCUGGACCUCUUCUGACGCUGAGGCGCGAAAGCCAGGGGAGCGAACGGG